rnacentral:rRNA from 1 species
GAUGAAGCUAGCGACAGGCCUAACACAUGCAAGUCGAGGGGCAGCAUAAAGGUAGCAAUACUUUGGUGGCGACCGGCGCACGGGUGAGUAACACGUAUGCAACCUACCUGGUAAGAGGGGGAAUAACCCGGAGAAAUUCGGACUAAUACCGCAUAAUACUGAUUAUCUGCAUGGAUUGAUCAGUUAAACAUUUAUGGCUUACAGAUGGGCAUGCGUAUGAUUAGAUAGUUGGUAGGGUAACGGCCUACCAAGUCAACGAUCAUUAGGGGUUCUGAGAGGAAGGUCCCCCACACUGGUACUGAGACACGGACCAGACUCCUACGGGAGGCAGCAGUGAGGAAUAUUGGUCAAUGGGCGAGAGCCUGAACCAGCCAAGUCGCGUGAAGGAAGAAGGUUCUAUGGAUUGUAAACUUCUUUUGUAAGGGAAUAAAAAGAGUUACGUGUAACUUAUUGUAUGUACUUUACGAAUAAGGAUCGGCUAACUCCGUG